rnacentral:sRNA from 1 species
GAUAAGUUAAUAGGCAUUUACAAAUGCUGUGUGCGGAGCCGGUAGUCGUACGCCGCUCAGGGGCGGACGGUCCGCCAUGAUUUCUCGUA